rnacentral:rRNA from 1 species
GACGAACGCUGGCGGCGUGCUUAACACAUGCAAGUCGAGCGGUAAGGCCCUUUCGGGGGUACGACGAGCGGCGAACGGGUGAGUAACACGUGGGUGACCUGCCCUCAGCUCUGGGAUAAGCCUGGGAAACUGGGUCUAAUACCGGAUAUGACUCCAUGACGCAUGUUGUGGGGUGGAAAGCCUUGUGCGGCUGAGGAUGGGCCCGCGGCCUAUCAGCUUGUUGGUGGGGUGAGGCCUACCAAGGCGACGACGGGUAGCCGGCCUGAGAGGGCGACCGGCCACACUGGGACUGAGACACGGCCCAGACUCCUACGGGAGGCAGCAGUGGGGAAGUCUUGCGCAAUGGGCGAAAGCCUGACGCAGCGACGCCGCGUGAGGGAUGACGGCCUCGGUUGUAAC